UGUGUGUGUGUGUACAUACAAGCACAUGUGCCAGUGCAUAUGGAAGUUACAGAACAGCCUUGGGUUCCAAGAACCUUCCACUAACUUUAAGUCGAGGUCUCACUGACCUGGAGCACACUAACUAGGCUAUGCUGGCUGACCCAGGAGACCCAGGAAUGAACCUGUCUACCUCCCCAGUGAAGCUAGGAUUAUACACACCCGACAUUUUUUUAACAUACGUUCUGGGGGUUGGACUUGGGUCCUACGGUUGCAUGCACUUUGCCAAUUGGGCCUAUACUUUACCAACUGAGCUAUCUACCUGUCCGUUACUUAGGCAUGCCUUGGGACGCUGAGAGAAAAGCUUUCACUCUAUAACCCACUCUAUGUUCUCCCAUAAACCCCUGUCGGGUGCCUGGUCAGCAGCACUUAAGCAGAGAGAGUCUCAUGGGUUCAGACACAGAUAAAACUCAGUUCUGCUUCCUCCCUGGCUCCGUGUAACACAAUUACCUCUUCAAAGUUCUUUACCCCCACCCAAUCUGAGGGGCUCCAGCUGCCGAAGAGGGAACAGAGAAAGCAGGACUUAAGAUGCAAAGAGGAGCACACCUCUCUGGCUCUCCAGACCGCCACAACAGCAAGGCGAGAUUUCAAAAGCGUGUGCGUACACUACUGAAGCAAAUCCAGAAUGGCUUCUGUGCUGAAUGCCCUUGUGCCUGCUUUAACAAAGGCAGGAGCAGAGGCUGACACCCACAAGGACCCUUCCAGCGAGGGAUUAUAUAUCAUGCCAUAGAAAUACAUAAAAGACAAAUUAUCCUGAGAUCAUCGUGCUUCCAUUGACCUGCUCAAGGUUUAAAUCCAGCUGCAAUUAGAUACCAUAGCCACAGAUCUGUAGGCGGCUAAAAUCUCCAGCAACACCAUGCUUUAAUCCUAGGGAAACAGAACAGGAUGGAUUUUUAUGGGUAUCUAAGUUUGGAUUUUGUUUCGUGGGAGGUUAGUAAUCUGCUUUUGUUAACCAGAUCCUCCUCAACUUCUGAGGUAUUUAUAAUACAAUAUCUAAUUCCGGCUGGAGAUGCUCAUGAAAA
rnacentral:sRNA from 1 species